GCCUCUAUUCUUUGAAACCCUAGCGAAACUUCAUCUUCAAUAAUCUACAGCCGAGAAACAUCACAGAAACCUCUCAAUCAUCUUCAAUCAUCGACUUUUCUUUUCAUUUUUCAUAUCUUUUCUCUCUCUUUUAUCAUAAUCAGUUUUUCAAUCUUAGGGUUUUUCAUCGUCUGUUAAUCUAGUUUAGGAUUUUGAUUUCAUAGAUCUGUACAAGUCUUUCAUCAUCUGUAGGGUUUUAGUUUUUUCGAUUUUUCAUGUAUGCUGAUUUGAAGAUGAUUUGAUGUCAUUGAAGGAAGAUGAAGAUAACUCAUUGACCCAAUUUGGUUUUUUAGACCAUACAAAUCGAGAGAAAAAGGCUUCAGUAAAGAUCAUGGAUCGUCAAAAUGGUUUGAUUUGUACGAGCUCUAGCAGCUUUAGGUGGAGGUGGUUCUGUGGGUUGAGUAGAUUCUGAAGCAGAGGAUGAGAAUGAAGAUGAACCCAACAAAUCAAAACAGAAGUGAAUGAUUAAGAUGAUGAAAAAGAUGAAAGUGGUGGAAUUAUACCAACAGAAUUAGGAAACCCAAUGACUAUCUUGGAUGGAAUUUUUGUGGAAAUCAAGGAUGAUAUAGACUGCUCUCCAUAUCCAUCGGGUAAGCUUUCAUCAGUGUGUAGUGUUAUAUUGAUACGUAGAGCGAGUUGUUGUUUGUUUGUCUAACUGUUAUACCGUUGGACUUUGUUCGAAGUUUCUCACUAAACUAUAACCACAAGUGCGACAACAUGGUUCCACGAAGUCCGUCCAGUCAAAAUUAAGAAGUUGUGGUGCGAUUCUCAUUGGGAAAGCAAAUAUGCACGGAUGGACCUUGGAACAACUGGAAAUAAUCCUAAUUAUGGAACAGCGAGAAACCCUCAAUCCCUAGACAGAUAUACUGGUGGAUCUUCCUCGGGUCCAGCAGCAAUUGUAGCUUCUGGAUUAUGUUCGGCCGCUCUUGGAACUGAUGGUGGAGGCUCAGUUCGAAUUCCUUCUUCACUUUGUGGUGUAGUAGGCUUCAUAUGGUCGGACUGACAUGGAAGGGGCAUUAUGUGAUUGCGGGACUGUAGAAAUCAUCGGACCAAUUGCUUCUAAUUGCUUCCUAGUUGAAGAUGUUGUGCUUGUAUAGCUUAUUCUCUGAUUGAAAAGCAAGAGGGAAAGGCGAGGACACCAGAUGAUUACAUAUCUUUCGUAACCCUCCUUGCAGAUCCACGUUAUUGUGGCGUUUCAUAUCUUGAGAAGGAAGAAGUGCGAGUUCUAUUAAGGAAGGAUCCUAAAUUUUGGACAUACAGACCAUUUACUGAACAAAUGGUCUGAGCUGCUGCUGAUGAUGUUUGUUUCCUUCUCCAUAUCUACCACAAUAUGAUGACAAAUCUGAACGAUAAAUCUCUGUGGCAACUGUCAGAUCGGGGAGCACUAUACUGUCGGUGUUUCUGUGUUGAUGAUAAUGAGUGUGUAGAUUGGCCGUCUGUCCCUCCCGUUCCAGGAUUACAGGAUCAUAUGAUCCCUAUGGUAGACAUGGCAUGACUCUUUGCAGACCGCAGUAUUAUCUUCAUCAUAGUCACUACACCUGCCAUAUAUUAGCAUCUGAGAUUGGAAGGUACAACACAGUCAUAUGGAUGUUGACAAGGUAUUAACAUAGAAAAGGAUGACUUACUGAGGUGAUCAAAAGAUCAGAACAUAAUUGGAUGCUCCUGCACUUGGUCUAGCUGCACAAACAUCAACAUCCAAGGCCAGAUUCUUUGUGCAGAAACUGCAAGCGGCCUGGUCAUUAUCCAUAUGAAUAAGUCAGGGAUUAUGGAGAACUUGAUGAAGAAUGCUUGGAAACUCUCUGCAAGUUUUGAUAAGUAUCUACAAGUUUUGAGUAAGUUGUAUGUAGUUUUUGAGAUGAAAUUAUACUGACCUACGUGAGAAGGAACUGAACUUAGGAAGUAUCUCAAAAAAAAAUUGUACUUGGAAUAAUUGAUGUUCUUUUCUGAUGUGAAUUGAUUGAUUGAAUUUGAAUGUGGUAUGAAUCCAA